rnacentral:rRNA from 1 species
CCUGGCUCAGGAUGAACGCUAGCUACAGGCUUAACACAUGCAAGUCGAGGGGCAGCAUGGUCUUAGCUUGCUAAGGCCGAUGGCGACCGGCGCACGGGUGAGUAACACGUAUCCAACCUGCCGUCUACUCUUGGACAGCCUUCUGAAAGGAAGAUUAAUACAAGAUGGCAUCAUGAGUCCGCAUGUUCACAUGAUUAAAGGUAUUCCGGUAGACGAUGGGGAUGCGUUCCAUUAGAUAGUAGGCGGGGUAACGGCCCACCUAGUCUUCGAUGGAUAGGGGUUCUGAGAGGAAGGUCCCCCACAUUGGAACUGAGACACGGUCCAAACUCCUACGGGAGGCAGCAGUGAGGAAUAUUGGUCAAUGGGCGAGAGCCUGAACCAGCCAAGUAGCGUGAAGGAUGACUGCCCUAUGGGUUGUAAACUUCUUUUAUAAAGGAAUAAAGUCGGGUAUGGAUACCCGUUUGCAUGUACUUUAUGAAUAAGGAUCGGCUAACUCCGUGCCAGCAGCCGCGGUAAUACGGAGGAUCCGAGCGUUAUCCGGAUUUAUUGGGUUUAAAGGGAGCGUAGAUGGAUGUUUAAGUCAGUUGUGAAAGUUUGCGGCUCAACCGUAAAAUUGCAGUUGAUACUGGAUAUCUUGAGUGCAGUUGAGGCAGGCGGAAUUCGUGGUGUAGCGGUGAAAUGCUUAGAUAUCACGAAGAACUCCGAUUGCGAAGGCAGCCUGCUAAGCUGCAACUGACAUUGAGGCUCGAAAGUGUGGGUAUCAAACAGGAUUAGAUACCCUGGUAGUCCACACGGUAAACGAUGAAUACUCGCUGUUUGCGAUAUACUGCAAGCGGCCAAGCGAAAGCGUUAAGUAUUCCACCUGGGGAGUACGCCGGCAACGGUGAAACUCAAAGGAAUUGACGGGGGCCCGCACAAGCGGAGGAACAUGUGGUUUAAUUCGAUGAUACGCGAGGAACCUUACCCGGGCUUAAAUUGCAGAUGAAUUACGGUGAAAGCCGUAAGCCGCAAGGCAUCUGUGAAGGUGCUGCAUGGUUGUCGUCAGCUCGUGCCGUGAGGUGUCGGCUUAAGUGCCAUAACGAGCGCAACCCUUGUUGUCAGUUACUAACAGGUUCCGCUGAGGACUCUGACAAGACUGCCAUCGUAAGAUGUGAGGAAGGUGGGGAUGACGUCAAAUCAGCACGGCCCUUACGUCCGGGGCUACACACGUGUUACAAUGGGGGGUACAGAGGGCCGCUACCACGCGAGUGGAUGCCAAUCCCAAAAACCUCUCUCAGUUCGGACUGGAGUCUGCAACCCGACUCCAUGAAGCUGGAUUCGCUAGUAAUCGCGCAUCAGCCACGGCGCGGUGAAUACGUUCCCGGGCCUUGUACACACCGCCC